rnacentral:rRNA from 1 species
UACAGAGGUGGCAAGCGUUGUUCGGAAUUACUGGGCGUAAAGGGCGCGUAGGCGGCCAACUAAGUCGGACGUGAAAUCCCUCGGCUUAACCGGGGAACUGCGUCCGAUACUGGAUGGCUUGAGAUUGGGAGAGGGAUGCGGAAUUCCAGGUGUAGCGGUGAAAUGCGUAGAUAUCUGGAGGAACACCGGUGGCGAAGGCGGCAUCCUGGACCAACACUGACGCUGAUGAGCGAAAGCCAGGGGAGCAAACGGG